rnacentral:rRNA from 1 species
UCUGACCGAGCAACGCCGCGUGAGUGAAGAAGGUUUUCGGAUCGUAAAACUCUGUUGUUAGAGAAGAACAAGGAUGAGAGUAGAACGUUCAUCCCUUGACGGUAUCUAACCAGAAAGCCACGGCUAACUACGUGCCAGCAGCCGCGGUAAUACGUAGGUGGCAAGCGUUGUCCGGAUUUAUUGGGCGUAAAGCGAGCGCAGGCGGUUUCUUAAGUCUGAUGUGAAAGCCCCCGGCUCAACCGGGGAGGGUCAUUGGAAACUGGGAGACUUGAGUGCAGAAGAGGAGAGUGGAAUUCCAUGUGUAGCGGUGAAAUGCGUAGAUAUAUGGAGGAACACCAGUGGCGAAGGCGGCUCUCUGGUCUGUAACUGACGCUGAGGCUCGAAAGCGUGGGGAGCGAACAGGAUUAGAUACCCUGGUAGUCCACGCCGUAAACGAUGAGUGCUAAGUGUUGGAGGGUUUCCGCCCUUCAGUGCUGCAGCAAACGCAUUAAGCACUCCGCCUGGGGAGUACGACCGCAAGGUUGAAACUCAAAGGAAUUGACGGGGGCCCGCACAAGCGGUGGAGCAUGUGGUUUAAUUCGAAGCAACGCGAAGAACCUUACCAGGUCUUGACAUCCUUUGACCACUCUAGAGAU